ACUCCUGUAGUUUAAUAGGUUAGAACACCACACUCAUAAUGUGGCAAAUAUCGGUUCGAGUCCGAUCGGGAGCA
rfam:Dictyostelium discoideum mitochondrial DNA, complete genome.